UAUUUAUGCCUUGAAAACGAAACCGAAAUUGAAAUAACUUCCACCGACGGGUGUCGCCGCGAUCGCUGCUGAGUCUCGCGGCGGGCCGCCGGGUGCACAUGUGUGUGUUCUCCGUGACAGUCUUGAAGUUGUGAGUAAUUAGAUUGUUUUUCGCUACGUUUAGGUUGCACCAUCUCGUUGUUUUCGUGUACUUUUGUGCUCAUCGACGCGAAGGGAGCAUCCGGACUGAAGGCGACGCGAUUAUGCGUGAGAAAGAAAGGCAGUAGCGGCCUACGACAUCGGUGUUUCUUUGUGACAGUGUGUUUACUAUGCCUACGACGGCCGUCAUUCGUGGCCAACGAGAAAACAUCUUCCAUUCGGCCUGAACAGUGAUGAAGGGGACUUUUUUUUUUCGGCGGAAUCCAUCGUCAACAUCGUCCAUCCACUACGUAAACGAAAUGGCGUGCCCAGAGUAUACAUCGUGACAGCGCUCCGCCUUCAAACCGAGGGCCUUUUGCAAGGCGCAUGGACGGCUCAUAUAAAAGUUAGUCAGCAUGAAGCAAUUGCAUGGGAACCGGCCGAUUGUCUUGGGCCUACACAUUGCUCAAAAGACAGUGAAGGUGUCUGAGCCGACAGGUAUACUUUUUUCAUCACAAUUGGCCUACAUAUUUUUUCCACUGGAGGAUGAAGACCUCUCCCAGUAGAAAACAAGCAGAUGGCUACAGCGAUCAAUGAAGAAAUGGCUUCAUCUGUGAUGGCUCGCCUUAGGACAUUGGAAUGGAGCUACACAAAGGCAUCACCAGCCUCGCCUGUGCCCUGGAACAUUGGUUUGAAUAAGACUGUUCUUCAGUGUAGAACGACCACAAGACUUGUCACCACAUACAAGGCGUAGUGCAAGCUCUAAAUAUUGUACAGGUGGCUAGAAUAAAUGACCCUCCAUGCAGUCA